rnacentral:rRNA from 1 species
GAUGAACGCUAGCGACAGGCUUAACACAUGCAAGUCGAGGGGCAGCAUAAAAGUAGCAAUACUUUGGUGGCGACCGGCGCACGGGUGAGUAACGCGUAUGCAACCUACCUAUCAGAGGGGGAUAACCCGGCGAAAGUCGGACUAAUACCGCAUAAAACAGGGGCACCGCAUGGUGAUAUUUGUUAAAGAUUUAUUGCUGAUAGAUGGGCAUGCGUUCCAUUAGGUAGUUGGAGAGGUAACGGCUCACCAAGCCAACGAUGGAUAGGGGAACUGAGAGGUUGGUCCCCCACACUGGUACUGAGACACGGACCAGACUCCUACGGGAGCAGCAGUGAGGAAUAUUGGUCAAUGGGCGCAAGCCUGAACCAGCCAUCCCGCGUGCAGGAAGACGGCCCUAUGGGUUGUAAACUGCUUUUCCAGGGAGAGAACUUACGCACGUGUUGCGUGACUGACGGUACCCUGGGAAUAAGCAUCGGCUAACUCCGUGCCAGC